CUUCUUUUCCCACCGGAGCUUGCUCCACCGGGAAAAGAGGAGUGGCGAACGGGUGAGUAACACGUGGGUAACCUGCCCAUCAGAAGGGGAUAACACUUGGAAACAGGUGCUAAUACCGUAUAACAAUCGAAACCGCAUGGUUUCGUUUUGAAAGGCGCUUUACGGUGCCGCUGAUGGAUGGACCCGCGGUGCAUUAGCUAGUUGGUGAGGUAACGGCUCACCAAGGCCACGAUGCAUAGCCGACCUGAGAGGGUGAUCGGCCACAUUGGGACUGAGACACGGCCCAAACUCCUACGGGAGGCAGCAGUAGGGAAUCUUCGGCAAUGGACGAAAGUCUGACCGAGCAACGCCGCGUGAGUGAAGAAGGUUUUCGGAUCGUAAAACUCUGUUGUUAGAGAAGAACAAGGGUGAGAGUAACUGUUCACCCCUUGACGGUAUCUAACCAGAAAGCCACGGCUAACUACGUGCCAGCAGCCGCGGUAAUACGUAGGUGGCAAGCGUUGUCCGGAUUUAUUGGGCGUAAAGCGAGCGCAGGCGGUUUCUUAAGUCUGAUGUGAAAGCCCCCGGCUCAACCGGGGAGGGUCAUUGGAAACUGGGAGACUUGAGUGCAGAAGAGGAGAGUGGAAUUCCAUGUGUAGCGGUGAAAUGCGUAGAUAUAUGGAGGAACACCAGUGGCGAAGGCGGCUCUCUGGUCUGUAACUGACGCUGAGGCUCGAAAGCGUGGGGAGCAAACAGGAUUAGAUACCCUGGUAGUCCACGCCGUAAACGAUGAGUGCUAAGUGUUGGAGGGUUUCCGCCCUUCAGUGCUGCAGCUAACGCAUUAAGCACUCCGCCUGGGGAGUACGACCGCAAGGUUGAAACUCAAAGGAAUUGACGGGGGCCCGCACAAGCGGUGGAGCAUGUGGUUUAAUUCGAAGCAACGCGAAGAACCUUACCAGGUCUUGACAUCCUUUGACCACUCUAGAGAUAGAGCUUCCCCUUCGGGGGCAAAGUGACAGGUGGUGCAUGGUUGUCGUCAGCUCGUGUCGUGAGAUGUUGGGUUAAGUCCCGCAACGAGCGCAACCCUUAUUGUUAGUUGCCAUCAUUUAGUUGGGCACUCUAGCAAGACUGCCGGUGACAAACCGGAGGAAGGUGGGGAUGACGUCAAAUCAUCAUGCCCCUUAUGACCUGGGCUACACACGUGCUACAAUGGGAAGUACAACGAGUCGCGAAGUCGCGAGGCUAAGCUAAUCUCUUAAAGCUUCUCUCAGUUCGGAUUGUAGGCUGCAACUCGCCUACAUGAAGCCGGAAUCGCUAGUAAUCGCGGAUCAGCACGCCGCGGUGAAUACGUUCCCGGGCCUUGUACACACCGCCCGUCACACCACGAGAGUUUGUAACACCCGAAGUCGGUGAGGUAACCUUUGGAGCCAGCCGC
rnacentral:rRNA from 1 species